rnacentral:rRNA from 1 species
AUUGAACGCUGGCGGCAGGCCUAACACAUGCAAGUCGAGCGAGCGGCGGACGGGUGAGUAAUGUAUGGGGACUGCCCGAUAGAGGGGGAUAACUACUGGAAACGGUAGCUAAUACCGCAUCCUAUCGGAUAACCCAUAUGGGAUUAGCUAGUGGGGGAGGUAAUGGCUCACCUAGGCGACUAUCACUAGCUGGUCUGAGAGGAUGAUCAGCCACUCUGUGACUGAGACACGGCCCAGACUCCUACGGAGGCAGCAGGGGUGGAUAUGGGACAAUGGGCGCAAGCCUGAUGCAGCCAUGCCGCGUGUGUGAAGAAGGCCCUAUGGUUGUAAAGUACUUUCAGUCGGGAGGCGUUACCGACAGAAGAAGCACCGGCUAACUCCGUGCCAGCCGCCGCGGUAAUUC